rnacentral:rRNA from 1 species
ACGAGUAUAUAGCCUUGGCCGACAGGCCCGGGUAAUCUUGGGAAAUUUCAUCGUGAUGGGGAUAGAUCAUUGCAAUUGUUGGUCUUCAACGAGGAAUGCCUAGUAAGCGCGAGUCAUCAGCUCGCGUUGACUACGUCCCUGCCCUUUGUACACACCGCCCGUCGCUCCUACCGAUUGAAUGGUCCGGUGAAGUGUUCGGAUCGCGGCGACUGGGGCGGUUCGCCGCCCCCGACGUCGCGAGAAGUCCAUUGAACCUUAUCAUUUAGAGGAAGGAGAAGUCGUAACAAGGUUUCCGUAGGUGAACCUGCGGAAGGAUCAUU